rnacentral:tRNA from 1 species
GUCAGGAUGGCCGAGUGGUCUAAGGCGCCUGACUCAACUUCUGGUCCACGAAUGUGGGCGUGGGUUUCGAAUCCCACUUCUGACA